rnacentral:rRNA from 1 species
AGCGAACGCUGGCGGCAGGCCUAACACAUGCAAGUCGAACGGAUCCUUCGGGAUUAGUGGCGGACGGGUGAGUAACACGUGGGAACGUGCCUUUUGGUUCGGAACAACUCAGGGAAACUUGAGCUAAUACCGGAUGUGCCCUUCGGGGAAGGAUUUAUCGCCAUUAGAGCGGCCCGCGUCUGAUUAGCUAGUUGGUGAGGUAAAGGCUCACCAAGGCGACGAUCAGUAGCUGGUC